UACGGGAGGUGCAAGCGUUGUUCGGAAUUAUUGGGCGUAAAGAGCACGUAGGUGGGUUGGUGUGUCAGAUGUGAAAUCCCUGGGCUUAACCUGGGAAUUGCAUUUGAAACUGCUAAUCUUGAAUACUUGAGGGGUUGGAGAAAUUCCAGGUGUAGGAGUGAAAUCCGUAGAGAUCUGGAGGAAUACCGGAGGCGAAGGCGUCCAACUGGCAAUGUAUUGACACUGAGGUGCGAAAGUGCGGGGAGCAAACAGG
rnacentral:rRNA from 1 species